AAGUCGUAACAAGGUUUCCGUAGGUGAACCUGCGGAAGGAUCAUUAACACGUAUAUCGUUUUAACCAUCCCUCAACCCCUCUGUGAACUAAAAAAAACAAACCUCCUAACCUAAAUCCUGUUCUGGCUCUCGUAGUUGGUUCAGGUCGCUCCAGCUUAACUCUUGGCUUUCGGGCUGCUUUAAGCGUGCGUUUCAUCGUUCUUUAACAGAGAAUGGUGAGAUGGCAGGGCGUCACAACAAAACCCCCUAAAUUAUUACUACUGAAACCCCCCUAACUUAGACCGAGGGCGUUCGCGCUUUUUUGUCUGGUUAACAAAAAUACAAAAACAACUCUUAACAACGGAUAUCUUGGUUCUC
rnacentral:misc_RNA from 1 species